AAAAAAAAGAAAAAAACGCCCUCUUUCUAAGUAAACUCAUCCCACUAGAUCUCCGGCCCGAUAUUCUUUUAAGCCUCCGGUCGGCGCUUACGUAACGGAAAAGGAGCUCAAAUCGAGUCCUUCUUUGGAGGAACCAAGGUCCAUAAAAGAAAGAAAGAACGUUCAGUCAUCUAGGGGUAAGAAUAAUACUCUCUCACUAGGGUGUCGAUGUUGUUGUAAGACACCUAUUAACACGCUCACCAAUAUCUUAACACGAAUAGUAAAAAGAGAGGGAUAUAUUAUUAAUGUAUUGUAUAUCUCCUCCUAUAAGGGAAUAACAUACUGGUAACCUGGUUGAUUGUAGUCUUGUAAAGAAGUCGUACAAUAGAUUUUCUUUCUUGUCAAGUGUUCUUCUACACUUUCACUAGUAGAUAAAUUAAAAUUUUCGAGUUUGAGUACGAAAAGAGAGUUUUUCGAAACUAAGCGAUGUCGAUCCCCUUAGCUACUACCUGCCUUGCCCCUGCAUCGCCUACUAGUGAUGGUGGCCAUGUACCUUCUACACCUCUAGUAAGUAUCAAACCCACAGUUGAGGAUGUCUAAGAGUUAAAGUACCCGCUCUUAGGAUGGUUCUCCGGCCGAACCUCCGCAAUUAAGUCGACCUCAUCGCAAGAUGCUGGCGGACUAACUACGUGAGCACGUGUUUCCCUAUCUCGGUAAACACUGUGACGUAGUGAAACUAGACGGCGUGCUUUACCUCUGGGCUAUGCCGCCAACCGACCCGCGGCUUUAGGCCAUGCACGUUGAGGAGACAUGAUGAUCACAGUUUUUGUGAGAAUAUAUAUGGGCUUUUUCUUUGUGAGAAUAUAAUACUCUACUUCCCUCAUGUAAACAUGAAACAAAGAGAAAAGAGAUAGAAUUACUUUAGCCGUCUCGCGGAUGGAACGCAGCAGCUUUUGUUGUUGUACACAAAAGGGUCCCUCCUCAAACUGAUGAUGCGGCUGCACACGAAGUUCCGCAAACCACUGGCCCACUUCAAGACCCG
rnacentral:rRNA from 1 species